rnacentral:lncRNA from 1 species
UGGUUUACACAUAUAACAGUGGGCGUUGUACAUGUUUACCUUGUGACGGUGGAUAACGAUAAGCGAUUUACCCGGCCAUCAGCACAGCAGGUGAAUUCAGUACUUGAAACAUGCUCGAAAGACGAUACCUGACAGUGUAAGAAGAUCCCAACGCAUGGAUGUGGAUUGAGCCCGAACAAACUUAACAACGAAGCAUGUCAUGAAUGCACUAACUUUAAUUACAGAUUAAGGUGCUCGGUAUCUCUGCGGAGUCUGUCAACAAACUCAGAGGUCGGUAACUGGGACAACAGGAUGCUGAGCACACUUUCGAGGGAUGUCGAAAUGUUGGUGCACAACAGGAAGGUUUAGUCAUAUUUGUAACUUUGUCACAAUCGACUACAUUGAUGAAGAACUAUUACGACAGAAACUGUGUGGCUUAAAUGCUGACACAAGAAGGUGCCUACAAGAAAUUUUCAUCCGAAACUGGGUUCCACAGGAGAUAUUGCUUGUGUGAGAUAUAGAGAAUACUA